rnacentral:rRNA from 1 species
AGUCCUUAACUGACGCUAAAGCUCGAAAGUGCGGGUAUCGAACAGGAUUAGAUACCCUGGUAGUCCGCACGGUAAACGAUGGAUGCCCGCUGUCUGCGAUACACUGUAGGCGGCCAAGAGAAAUCGUUAAGCAUCCCACCUGGGGAGUACGCCGGCAACGGUGAAACUCAAAGGAAUUGACGGGGGCCCGCACAAGCGGAGGAACAUGUGGUUUAAUUCGAUGAUACGCGAGGAACCUUACCCGGGCUUGAACUGCAGGCGUACGAUACAGAGAUGUUGAGGCCCUUCGGGGCGCCUGUGGAGGUGCUGCAUGGUUGUCGUCAGCUCGUGCCGUGAGGUGUCGGCUUAAGUGCCAUAACGAGCGCAACCCCUUUCUCCAGUUGCCAUCAGGUGAUGCUGGGCACUCUGGAGACACUGCCACCGUAAGGUGUGAGGAAGGUGGGGAUGACGUCAAAUCAGCACGGCCCCUACGUCCGGGGCUACACACGUGUUACAAUGGGUGGUACAGAGAGUCGGUGCAUCGCAAGUUGCAUCUAAUCAUGAAAGCCAUCCUCAGUUCGGAUUGGGGUCUGCAACCCGACCCCAUGAAGCUGGAUUCGC